CUCAGCACUUAGGCAUUUUUUUGUGCCCCAGGGUUCAAAAUGAAAUUAAUUUCCAUUACCUCCCACAAUAAAUCACCUCACUCAACACAUGUAUGAAAUUCCAUUCAGGAGACUCAAGUCAUUCUGGGGCCACACAGAAAAGCAUACACACUUCAGCUUGCACUUAGUUAAUUUCUCUGCUUGAAAGAGCUUUGAUGGGACUCCGAAAACAGGUUCCUAGAGAGCCAAUGGAGAAGGAGACAUCCCUAUAACAUAAGGGCUGGUGAUAGUGGCUUCUCUGACAUCAGAAUCAAAUAGUAAAUACUCUAAAGCCAUUUGGGAAGAUGUGUGUGGCUAGCCAUUCUGAUUCCUGGACUUUUUAUAAAAGAAACCACCAAAUGAGCCUAAGUGCUGCGUACAGCAGGAUAACGAAGAAAGUAAAUAUCAAGUUAUGUUACUGUGUCCAAGGAGUUUGCAAAGAUGAUGAACAUGACUAAUAUGCAUCAAAUCAUGGGCAAGGAAUUUAAGUGAGAGAGGACCAGAAUCUCCUACUUGAGCUGGGCCUUACAGAGAUUCGAGAAUAUAAUUGGGACUGCUACUAUUGAUUGGACCCCACUCCUUACAAGAAAGAAGCACUGUUAUCCUGUUUGUGGAUGAGGAAAGUGGACCUGAAAACAAAGAAAUCUUACUAAAGGAACUUCUUGAAUAAGUUGAGAGAGCCUUAAGCUAAUAGCUUGGAGACCUGACUAUGCCAUUUAUCUUCUUUUCUUCUCUACGCCUUGGAUUUUUUGAGAGUUUAAAGCAGUGCACUAGAGUCAAUACAUCUGUGAUUAUGAAUACAAAAGUAUACACUUGAAGAAUGUAAGUAACUGUGGUAAUAGAAAACCAGAGACCUUGGUGUUUUUAAAAGGUUUAUUGCUGACUAGCUGUAUGAUUUGGAGAGUCAUAUGGACAAUCUAUGGGUCUUUGUCCCAUUACCACAUGCCACUUCUGUGCUAUGUUUAUCUGUUUUUAAUCUGUCUAGCAUCAUUUGUUUUCAUAAUCCAUGGUCUUUGUAGGCAUGAAAGAUAUUAUCCAACCCUCAUCCAGGACCUAUCUGUAUUUAGCUAAUACCUGUCUUAGAGUGCCCGAACAUUACUGAAAGUCAAUGGCAUAGACAGAAAACAGUGCUGCACUCAUAGUUCUGACUUCCUGGUAAAGUCUAUGAUUCCAUGUACCACAUAUUACAGACACUACAGCUGGGUUCUGGCACAUGACUUUCCCCUAUCCACUUUUACCUUCCCUUCCAACACUGUCUUCAACUUAGCCUCACCAUGUGGCUUCCAACAUCUCCAAUCCCAAUCAAACUAUCCUUAUUUGAUCUCUGUCCCACUGUAAAAUCAGUCUGUGAAGCAGACAUAUGAAUAAAAAAAAAAACAGAACAAUAAGCUCCAACAACAAAAAGGCCCACAUGCACUAAUGGAUAACCUGUUACGAUAAAUCUUUCCGUCAAAAGCCGCCCGAUCCCUACCGCCACAUGGGCGGUCUCCACCAGCCGCCUGAGUUCUGCCCACCAUGUGGAUGGACAAAAUAAUACAGAGACAUAUUAGGUACAAUGCUGCUUGGCCAAUGACUAGGAUUCUCAUCUGCUAGCUCAGUCUUAAUUAUCAUAAAUCUAUAUAUGUUAUAAGACUUACCUUAUCGGACACCUUAUUGGUGUCCCUCCUUGCCGGUGGAUCACAUUGCACUGCUGGAGGAGAAAGAGGAAAAAGGGGAGCCCUUCCUCUUUCACUUGCUUAAAUAUGUCUCCUUGCUAUGUCACUUCCUGCCUGGAACACCACAUCUCUACUACAUUUCCCAGAAUUCUCUUUGACUCCUAGUCCUAUCUAACUUGCUGUCUCAUUGGCCAAACAGUACCUUAUUUAACAAUCAAUAAGAUAAACUGACAAUGCUCCAGCAUAUGUCUCCACAAAAUUGGAACAAUUUUUCAAAUAUUAUAACAUAAAGCAUGUCACCAGUAUACCACACAAUCCUACGGGACAAGCAGUGGUUGAGAGAUCUAAUAGAACACUUAAGGAGAUGCUCAGCAAACAAGCUUGGAAGACUAAACCACCCAAACAUAGGUUGCAUAAUGCUUUAUUAACACUAAACUUUCUUAAUGCCAAUGAAAAAGGACAAACAGCUGCAGAAAGACACUGGACUAUGGAGAAAACCGCUGAACUGAAUCAGCCGGUAUACUUCAAAGAUGUACUAACCUCUGUAUGGAAUCCAGGACAUGUGUUACGUUGGGGUAGGGGUUUUGCAUUGGUUUCCAUAGGAGAAGAAAAACUUUGGAUACCAUCAAAGUUGAUCAAGAUUCGAGUUGAAAAGGAAAAACCUCUCCACGAGGAGAAAUGACAGUUAUUCUACUAAGGUAUAUCUUAUAAACUAAAUAGAAACCUCCCAAAGGAAAGGGAAGUGUUUUGCUUUUAUCUUCACAGGAAAUCUCAUCUCCAGAAGGCAAAGGACACUCUGUGGGUAGAUACUUAAGAAGAGAAGGUAGCUAUAACCAUCAAACAAAAGGAAGGUGCCAUAUGGUUAACUUUACAGCUGUCCCCAGAGAAUUCUAUUUCUCUUUUCUAGUCCCUAUUCAAUUAAACCAAUGCUGGAUUUAGAGGUGGAUUUGGCUUUCCCCCUCUAAAAUCCAAGCACAUUAUUUAACUAAACUUCAGAGUUUCUGUAUUGUAUCAAGAAGGCAAUUGAUGUAAUACAGAAUAAAAGAAGAAUUUGGGAACUGUCUUUGUCGUUUCUUGGAUCUUACUUUCAAGGUGUAUACCCUCUCAUAAUUGUUAUGCUCCCAUGGUUGCCUUUCCCAGUAUGUGUACAUCACAAGCAAACAGUUCUCUGAUAACUGUUUAUGUUUGAGUCCCACGCAGCCAAUGAAGACCUCCCUGACAGCAAUCCCUGGAUACCCCGGAAAGAAAAUGGGCCACACCUCCUCGCCUGCACUAGAUUCAACUUGCUCCAUUUCAACUGACACUCCCGCCAGAGCUUCAGGUACUGACUUCAAUCAAGUUGAGGAUUUCAAGUGAGAUCUUCAAUCAACCAAAUCCCAUCUAACAUGGACUGUAUACAAUUCAUGCAAGACUUUUACUAUACUAACAUUUUUUUUCCUACAGGACUGCACAAGGAUGUAGUCGUCCCAUUUCAGCAGGAAGUAACUUGGAGGAUGCUAUGCCCCCUUUCCCCAUUGUUGUCAUUUAGGAUAGUGUAUAUAACUAGUUAGGGAUAGCUUCCUAUUGUUUAUGAUUGGGAUUGGAAGGAGGUAUUCAGGCUUGGACACCUCUUUCAGAUGACUUUAGGGUUUAGUUAAAAUAGAUAGAUAGGAUGUGACAUGAGCAGAUUGUUGUAUCUUCUUAAAUUUCACCUUUGUAAUUGUUAAUUUUGGAUACUUUACACUGUUAAGUUUUAAUCCUCUUUUAGACUAAAAGGGGAAUUGUAGGGGAACCUUAGCCACGCCUACUUAGGGGCUGGCUACAGGUCUGCCUAACCAUGCCUGCUAGGGCAUGGUCAGGGUGACGUAGAGUGAGAGGUUCAGGGCUGUGUUUCACUUUCGGUUUUCCUUUUUGGCUCGCUGUACAGACUGCUGCCGCACCGGCUGGCUAGGUUGCUCUGUAAGUAAGACUUUUCCCUAUUAAAUACUCUUAUAUUUCUACUUGACUCUGUAUUGGUAAUUUCCCACUUUAAUAACCUUUAUCCAGAGAAAUGGUGUGAGCAAGUCCUGGGCUCAAGAGAAUCUGAAUUCAAUUGCUAUGGAAUUUUGGUCAAGUUUUUUUAAAUUUUUUUCAGAGCCUCAGCUUCCCCAUCUGUAUAAUGGGAAGAG
ensembl:lncRNA